rnacentral:tRNA from 1 species
GCCAGUUUGGUUGAAUGGUUAAAGACACCAAACUGUAAACUAGGAGUCUGUGAGUUCUAGUCUCGCCUUAAGCA